rnacentral:piRNA from 1 species
UNGCAAGUUCGUGCCCCUUCCUUGGCUGU